CGCACAAUGAAGUCACUCCUUUUUACCGCCAUUUUGAGCCUUCGGAAACGUUCGGAACAGCUUUUCAUCAAGUUCGCAAUACUAUUACAGGUAAGGUUGACGCAUGCGCAGACGUUUUUCCGCGGUGUUCCCUGGAUCAGUUGACUGCAUGACAUUUAAAUCGUAUUUUUACCGUUAUCGUAGGGGGAUAAAAUGUUCUUAGGAAUACAUAGUAGAAAGGCGAAAUUAUUUAACAAAUUGGCUUAGAAAGCAUGCUUCUCAGUCUUUGCCUUAAUUCCCUCCUGUUCAAUGCGUUCAACGGUGCCAGUAGCUUAUUUACAUCUGACGGCUGCAUCUCGAACAGCUCAAUAUUGUUGGUCUACCCAUGCAGGACUUUGGGCAAGUCAGGAUAUAAUUUAGAUGUAUGGAUUCUGCAUAAUUAUGUCAGAGCUCUAACCAACUGGGCUACAGAGUCAUGUUGUCGAGCUCUAACCGCAAAUUCAUGUAUACAUACUAAGGUGAUGCCAUGGAAAGGUAUAUGUUUGGUAUGUUAUUAUGCG